AAUCUUUUGGAACCUCAUCACUAAAGUGAGAACCUGUCAACAUUGCUGUAUUCUAUCGGUUAGAAGCAAGUUACUCAAGGAGAGGGGAUUAUCAAGGGUAUCAGUACCAGGAUGCAUGGAUCCCUUGAAACCAUCUUAGAGGCUACCUACCAUGUAAACAAAACAAUUGUUACAUUAAAUUGUAGUAAGCAUAUUGACUUCUUCUCUCAAUAAAUAGAUGAAUUGUCCAGGGUUUCUGCAGACAGACCAAAGGUGAUGAUCCCACAUCAGCAACAAGAGUCAGGAGGAAGUCUUCAGAAGCAGGAAUGCAUAGAUCCAAGAAAGAUCAUAUGUGAAGCACCAGUCUAUGCUCUGUAUCUCGCCUUCCACUUUUCAAGGCAUCACUCUGAUGAAGAUCUCCUCCUUCAGCUGUGCUCUCCAUGGCCUCUGAACAUAUAACAUAGUCCUAGCUCACCCAAAUGAAACAAACAGACAAAGAAGAUCUGCUUCAAAAUGAUGGCUCUCUCAAUGGAGAAACCUGAAAAUGGCUGACAUCCUUUAAAGAAGACAGAUUCACACACACACACACACACACACACACACACACACACGCACGCACGCACACAUUCAUGCGAUCUUUUUCACCCAUCCCCACGUCCCCACAUUAAGCUACCGUUUUAUCACUUCUUCCACCUACCAGGACAUCUCUUUUUUUUUUUUUUUGAGACAGAGUUUUGCCCUUGUUGCCCAGGCUGGGGUGCAAUGGCACGAUCUCGGUUCACAGCAACUUCCGCCUCCCCAGUUCAAGCCAUUCUCCUGCCUCAGCCUACCAAGUAGCUGGGAUUACAGGCAUGCACCACUAUACCUGGCUAAUUUUGUAUUUUUAGUAGAGACAGGGUUUCUCCACGUUGGUUAGGCUGGUUUCUCCACGUUGGUUAGACGGGGUUUCUCCAUGUUGGUUGGGCUGAUCUCGAACUCCCGACCUCAGGUGAUCUGCCGCCUCAGCCUCCCAAAGUGCUGGGAUUACAGGCGUGCUGGGAUUACAGGCGUAAGCCACCACGCUGGCACAUCUCUCUUUUUUAAACUUUUAUUUUAGAUGCAAGGGAUACAUGUGCAAGUUUGUUACCUGGGUAUAUUGUGUGAUACUAAGGUCUGAGGUAUGAAUGAUCUUGUCACCCAGGUACUGAGCAUAGUACCUAAUAGUUUUUCAACCCUUGCCCUCUUCUCCUCCUCCCCCUCUAUUAGUCCCCAGUUUCUAUUGUUGCCAUCUUUGUGUCCAUGUGUAUUCAAUCUUGAUCUCCCACUUCUAAGUGAGGACAUGCAGUAUUCAGUGGUUUUGUUUCUGCAUCAGUUGGCUUAGGAUAACGGCCUCCAGCUGCAUCCCUGUUGCUGCAAAGGACAUGAGUUCAUCCUUUUUCAUGGCUGCAUAAUAUUCCAUGGUGUACACAUAUUAUAUUUUCUUUAUUCAAUCCCCCAUUGAUGGGCACUUAGAUUGAUUCCAUGUCUUUGCUAUUGUGAAUAGCACUGCAAUGAACAUGUGAAUGAAUGUGUCUUUUUGGUAGAAAGAUUUGCUUUCUUUUGGAUAUAUACCAAAUAAUGGGAUAAUAGGAUUGCUGUUCUUUGAGAAAUCUCCAAACUGCUUUCCACAGGGGCUGAAUUCAUUUGUACUCCCACCAACAGUGUAUAAGCAUUCCCUUUUGUUUGCAGCCUCUACAGCAUCUGUUGUUUUUUUUCACUUUUUAGUAGUAGCUAUUCUGACUGGUGUGAGAUGGUAUCUCAUUGUGGUUUUGAUUUUUAUUUCUUUGAUGGCCAGUGAUGUGGAGCAUUUUGUCAUAUGUUUGCUAGUUGCUUGUAUAUCUUCUUUUGAAAAGUGCAGGACAUCUCAAUAUUUACUUUAACUCAACUCUGUGUGUGUGUGUGUGUGUGUGUGUGUGCAGGUAGGGAGGAAAACAAGGACAGAAACCAGGAGGCCCAGCCCAGGAUUAAAAACACACCACAGCCUUUCCAAAAAGUCAGAGUCAUACAUGGAUCACUUGGAAAUAACUGAACUUGCAAAUCCAGUUUCCCAUGGACCUGCUGAGUUUAUGAGGAAAAGGUGGCUGUGGCCAUUACCAAGUUAUUAAAACCACAGAGAUCUUGACUUGUAUGGACUGAGAUGAGGCUUCCAUCAGCAUCUCGCAUAAAUAACAUAACACUGAUGCAGCAGAUGAACAUGGAAUCAGUGACAUCCACAAGAAGACAAUAGGCUUGGAGGAGAAACAGACCUUGACUUCAAGACACAACGCAGAGGGAAAUAUCGCUGAUACAAAGCUUGAAGAUGAUCAUCUAUGUACCCAUCGGGACAUUUUUAAAGGGACAAGUGGAAUGAGCGAAGACUUUGAAGACAGUCUUGUCUGCCAGGCACUCAGAUCAUCAGGAAGCAGAAAAGGAGAUGCAAGAUCAGGUUGAGAGGUAUUUUGUGCAGGAAUACACAUUCAGUGUUAUAAUGUAAUUGAAAAAGAGUCUAUUUCAGAGGCAUCAGCUUCACAGCCACCAUGGUUUAACCUCACCUGUGGUGUGAGAUGGACAGUGGGUAUGGGUGGCCCCUCCUAUGGGUGGGAAGCACAGUGAUGUGUUGGGCACCUGAGCAGGGCUGCCAAGAUUUUCUAAAGCAUUCUGUGGACCAUUCUGUGAGCCCCUACAAGGGGUUCUGAGCUCCUUGCCCUGGGAUUUGAUCCAAUGGACCUAUCUAACUGGUAUCUCCAAUGUCAGAGGUGAGUGAGAGCUUCUGUUUGUUUGAACUCUGCCUGACCUCAGUCUCAGUGCUUAUUUUGAACCAGGAACUAAAUGUAGAGGAAAAGUAUGGAGGACAAAGUGCACAAUUAUUUUCUCUUGGACAGAUCUUCGACGUCCUGCUUUUCCCUGGGGAGCACUUUCCCUGGAUGCAGGUAGACACAACUUCUUUCUCCUAAUAUGCCCACCCUGCAUUCUCCCUUCGCCCUGGUCUUUUCUCAUGAUUUUGGGAAAGUUCCAGACAGUCUCUCUGACUGGCAGCAGGAAAAACACAGUGCAAUAUAAUAUAUUGUGUAUAUUUAGCAUGACGUGUAAAUAUUUUAUAGAAGCUAAAGUAAAUAAUAUAUAUAUUUGUAAUGUCAGUGUAAAUAUUUGAUAGGCUGCAGUAGGAAUCCAGUAUGUUUGGAGCUGGGCACAGCACCAGUGGGAGGAAGGGACAAGGUCAAAUCAGAGGGCAACCUGUUCAUGACGUAUCUGAAAACAUCUCUUUUUCUCCUUCUGCCUGGCUGCUGCUUUGAACGCUUGACUCUCAACAUUCAAAUAUUCUCACGUGAAUUAUCCACAGCAAUUCAAGACCAAGCCCUAUAGCUUUAGAGGCUGCUGGAAAGAGAGCAGCAUGUAAGAUCCUAAAUAACUGGCUGAAUUAUAUUUAUUCAUUUGUUGACUUGUUUACUGUCUAUCUCAUCCAUACAAUAGAAAUUCCUGGAAGGCCCAUCUUGCCUAUUAUCAUAUCUCCAGUGCAUAAAACAGUUCCUGACACAUAGUAGACACUCUGUAAAUAAUUCUGGACUGAAUAAAUGGUGAGAUUUGAUGCCAAACUGAGGAGAAAAAAACUGCAACCCCAGCCCUCCCUGAAAGGGCCAACAUUUUAAAUCCAUUAGUCAUGCAAACCUUGAGGGUGAGUUUAUUUAAAUUAGUGAUAAGAACUAGCUGAAGUUAGCUAUGUGACAGGCUGAUGUUGUUUCACUGGAAGGGGAAGAAGGUAUUUGGGGCCCUAGGGCUCCACGGUGAGGUCCACGCCAGAAGAGUUGUCUAGGAGGCCAUGGAGGUAGUGAGGGGCACAAGGCAGAUGGGGAUAAAGAAGCAGAAAAUCUACAGCAGAAGAUGAGAGGGAAGUGGAAGACACUAGAAUAUCUUUACCACCUCCCAAAUUUUCCAGGACAACCUCUUUACAUGCAUGACUAUGAGUAAGUGUUUCAACAUUAAAUGCAACCUACUGUUAGCUUUCCCGGGACUAGUUACCCAGAAGGUUUUACUUCAUCUAAAAUGCAACCAAUAAUAGCAUUCAUAGCAAAUGCUUAUGUUGUAUUUACCCAGACACUAUUCACAUUGUUCUACACGCAUGAAUGCAUUUCACCCUUAGAACCCCCAAGUAGAGGAAAAAGAAAUUCAGGAGAUUAUGUGACUGAAUUAUCUAGGGAUGAUCAUGAGCUACGUUCCUUUCACCUGUGAGUAUCAAAUACUACUGGUGUCAGUAGAGGCAACAUGUCCCUCUUUCUAGAUGCUCCUCUUCCUGUGUGUGUUGUGUUGGGUUGUGGGGGAAGUCUUAGUGAGAAGUUCCUGGACUUAAGAAAGGUAGAGUAGCUCCCAGGUAAACAGAACCUGCUUGGAAACAGGUCUAAUCUCUUACAAAAUCACAGAGCCCAAAGAAUGUAAAGGCCCUGAGAGGAACUAAGUCUAAUAGCUCCACCGAGUGAUGCACGGAGAGUUCCCGGAACAGUCCUUCAGCUUGCUGGCUGCACAGGAAACUGUGUGAUGUGUGCUGUACCCACAUUUCUCAUCUGUCCUCAGAACACAGUAAAUAUCAGCUGGCUUUGCUCAUCGGAGAGGUGUGGGGUAUGGAAGGGACAAGAGAAGAGAGAAAGGGAGACAAUAGAACAAUAACUGAUCUCUCCUUUCUGGUAUUACUGUUAUAACAGCACAAUGGCAAUUGAGCAAUCAAUUCCAAACUUUUAAAAGUCUUUUUCUUUUCUCAACUUAAAAUCAAAGCUUGCGCUGGGCGUGGUGGCUCACACCUAUAAUCCCAGCACUUUGGGAGGCCAAGGCUGGUGGAUCACCAGGUCAAGAGAUCAAGACCAUCCUGGCCAAUAUGAAACCCCAUCUCUACUAAAAAUACAAAAAUUAGCUGGGCGUGGUGGCACGUGCCUGUAAUCCCAGCUACUCGGGAAGCUGAGGCAGGAGAAUCGCUUGAACCCAGGAGGCAGAGGUUGCAGUGAGCCAAGAUCGUGCCCUGCACUCCAGUCUGGUGACAGAGCAAGACUCCAUCUCAAAAAAAUAAAAAUAAAAUAAAAUCAAAGCUUGAAGUUCUUACACCAUGGCACCAGCAAAGACAUGUGCUGUCUUGUCACUGUGCCCAACAGAACAGAUGACUUCUUUCCCAUAUCCCACCCGAUGAUGUUCUGAGAUGGUUUUGAAAUGUUGUCUAGACCACAGUGGGCCUGUCUUACAAACCGCACCUCUGUCAGUGGUGUACCCACACCCGUGUCACUCUAUCCGUGGCCCUGAAGUGCUGUGGAUGAGGGCCACAAGUGAGCUAGAUGUCUCAGAAGACAAAGAGAGAGGCACCUUGUGGGACAGUGUUUAAAUAUUCUCAGUGCCAGAGAGGAAGCUGGGACCCAGCAGAGGUCUGAGUUGACAUGCUGGGCCCUCUCUAAGGCCAGCUGUUGGGGACCAGGUCCUCAAGUCCUGCCAUUGAGACAAGGCAAACGGAACACAUUUCCUCUUCUUUCCACAUUUGUACCAAUAGCCUGGACUGAGUGUCGGGGUCAUCUUGGUGCACGUUCAAGUCCUUCAUUCUUGACAGGUGCUAACUCAGAGAACUCGGUGGGGCCCAGGUCCAACACAGCCAGGUGAGCUGACUCCAGAGCCAGAUCAGAGCUGGGCUUGGGAACCAAAAUCCAAGCAAUUUAUUGAGUCCUCAAAGAAACACUGAACUUUAUUUCACUGAACUACACUUGUAGACCAAUGCAUUGUAGUGGGACCUUCAGCACCAUGGAAUCAGACUCAGAGUGUUUCAUUUUGUUUUCUUUUUCUAGUCUUAUUUUUUGCUUUGUCUUACUUUGACUAGCUUUGUUUCACCUUGUUAGGCAGAAAAUUCAAGGAACAAGAUGAUUCCCUUUAGUUUGAUAUGGAUAAAUAAACAUUAAAU
rnacentral:lncRNA from 1 species